GUUGGAAAAGAAUGGAUGGUGGCUUGAGUGACUGUGUGACUGGGCUGGAGGGCUGAGUCACUGAAGACCUGACAUAAGCUAAGAGAGCAGGCAUGUGCAGUGAGAUGGGGGUACUUGUGAGAGGAAGAAGAGAUACAAGUACAGAUCGGGGGCAUGAUUGAGCUCCAAAAUAUUAAGACUGGAUCAUCUUUUUUUGCAUCUGCAAGCAGAGAACCAAAAUCCUUCCUCAGGAGGGCAUGGAACUGGGUAGCUGCAACAUUCCUUGCAGCUUGCAGAUGCUCCUCCACAAGGGGAUCUGUGAAGAUCAGGCUCCACAUGUGUGGAAGAUCCAAGGUCACUCCAUAGCUUUGCCUCCUUCCAAUGCAGCCAGAUGUCCCAGUUCAUAUUAAUGAAGAUCCAGUCACAUUCCUGUUUGCCCAAUGGAUUUGGGGGGUGAGGAGAAUCUGGCAUAGUGUGGCCAGUCCUUUCUCCCCAAAUCACAUGCCCUGCCUAUCCUCUGCUCACCUGUUUAUCUGGCUCCUCCUGCCCAGGGACUUCUAAGUGGGGAGAAGCAUACAUGCUGUGGAGGCAGCAUUCCCAAGCUAUUGCUCCUUCCUGACCCACAUCUGGUGGGAGGGAAGGUUGGCUUUCUGUGUUCAUGUAAAUAUAGGGGAGUCCCUACAACACAGUUCCCCUACAGGGAAGGGGACAACAGAGAAGGAAGCAGGAGGGAGGUGGCUUCCACAAGCUAGGUCCAUGAAGCUAGUCGUUUGCACAGUGCAUGCAUUGUGGAAGUGCUGAUUUUUGAUGCCAACACUGUCACUUUAAAGUUUAUUAAGUUUUCCUUUUCCUUAAUUUGGUGCAGGAGGGUGGCUCAGCCACUUAA